rnacentral:rRNA from 1 species
GGGAUUGCCCUAGUAACGGCGAGUGAAGCGGCAACAGCUCAAAUUUGAAAUCUGGCCCUCGGGUCCGAGUUGUAAUUUGUAGAGGAUGCUUUUGGCGCGGUGCCUUCCGAGUUCCCUGGAACGGGACGCCAUAGAGGGUGAGAGCCCCGUCUGGUUGGACACCAAGCCUCUGUAAAGCUCCUUCGACGAGUCGAGUAGUUUGGGAAUGCUGCUCUAAAUGGGAGGUAUAUGUCUUCUAAAGCUAAAUACCGGCCAGAGACCGAUAGCGCACAAGUAGAGUGAUCGAAAGAUGAAAAGCACUUUGAAAAGAGAGUUAAAUAGCACGUGAAAUUGUUGAAAGGGAAGCGUUUAUGACCAGACUUGGGCUUGGUUGAUCAUCCCGCGUUCUCGCGGGUGCACUCUUCCGGCUCAGGCCAGCAUCAGUUCGCUGCGGGGGAUAAAGGCGUCGGGAAUGUGGCUCCCUCGGGAGUGUUAUAGCCCUUCGUGUAAUACCCUGCGGUGGACUGAGGACCGCGCUUCGGCAAGGAUGCUGGCGUAAUGGUCAUCAACGACCCGUCUUGAAACACGGACCAAGGAGUCGUCUUCGUAUGCGAGUGUUCGGGUGUCAAACCCCUACGCGUAAUGAAAGUGAACGCAGGUGAGAGCUUCGGCGCAUCAUCGACCGAUCCUGAUGUUCUCGGAUGGAUUUGAGUAAGAGCAUACGGGGCCGGACCCGAAAGAAGGUGAACUAUGCCUGUAUAGGGUGAAGCCAGAGGAAACUCUGGUGGAGGCUCGCAGCGGUUCUGACGUGCAAAUCGAUCGUCAAAUAUGGGCAUGGGGGCGAAAGACUAAUCGA